CUCCUUCCCUUACCCGGGCGCGGAACUCCUGACGCCUGGGGUGGGUCGGGAAGGGGCGACCAUAGGAGGCUGCGGUUGCUUCUCCUGGCCUGGCCUCGCUCGCUGCCAUCCCGUGACACCUGCUCCUCUGGCUCUUGGAUGCCUGAGGGGCCACCCUGAAAUAAGUGCCAAUUUUCUUUUCUUCCGUGCAGUGCUCGGGAAAGAUGCCCGCAGUCCGGUAGAGCCAAGGGUUGGAGCUUCCUAAGGAACAGCACCGCUGCCCGAAGCCGAGAAGGUCUCCUUGGUUUGCCUCCUCUCCCACUGCAGUGACCUCCAUGCAAGAGAAGCCAGUAUGGUCCAGACACCUGAGGGAGGCGGUGUGGUGUAAAGAACUUGGAGUCGGGCUGCAGACAGACUAAGGCGCAGUCCUGCCCCUGUCACUUACCAGCUGUGUGGCCUUGGGCAAGCCGCAUAACUUCCCAGUGUCCCAGUUUCUUUGAAGUCACAGGAUAGCAAUGCCCAAAUAAAGAAGGCUAAAGUUCAGUGGCAGCAUGGGGUUAAGAACUUCAGCCUUGGAGCUUAAUUCCCUACCUUCUGCCACUUACAAGCUGUUUUACCUUGGAAAAACUAUUUAACCUCUCUACAGCUUCCGUAUCAUCUCCUCAAGAGCCUCCAAUGACUUCCCAUCUCACUAAGGGUAAAAGCCGAAGUAUUUAUAAUGGCCUACAAGACCCUCUGUCCUCUGACCCUCUGCCACUCCUCUGACUUCAUCCCCUGCUCCUCUCCCUCCCAUCUAUGUUGGCUACCACCAGGGCUUUUGCACACUGUUCCCUGUACAGUUCUUCUCCAAGAUAUCCACGUGGUUCCCCCCCCCACCUCCUCCAGUUCUCUGUUCAAAUGUCACCUGAUCUUGGCUGGGCCUGGUGGCUCAUUCCUGUAAUCCCAGCAGUUUAGGAGGCUGAGGCAGGCCGAUCAGUUGAGGUCAGGAGUUCAAGAUCAGCCUGGCCAACAUGGUGAAACCCCGUCGCUAGUAAAAAAAUAUAAAAAUUAGCCAGGCAUGGUGGUGGGCACCUGUAAUCCCACCUACUCGGGAGGCUGAGGCAGGAGAAUCGCUUGAACCAGGGAGGCAGAGGUUGCAGUGAGCCAAGAUCACGCCACUGCACUCCAGUCUGGGUGACAGAGCGAGACUCUGUCUCACAAAAAAAUAAAAAAUAAAAUAAAAUUUUAAAAAAUGUCACCUGAUCAGAGGGGCCUUCCAUGGCCCUCCUGUUUAAAAUAGCAACACCACCACCUCCAGCACAGUAAUCUACCUACUUUCCUUCCAAUUUUCUAUUCUCUCUGCUGCUUUUACUCUGCAGUACACUAUGUAUUUUCCUUGUUUAUUUAUUUACUAUCUUGGCCAGGUGUGGUGGCUCACACCUGUAAUCUCAACACUUUGAGAGGCCAAGGUGGGUGAAUCACUUGAGGCCAGGAAUUUAAGACCAGUCUGGCCAACAUGUCGAAACCCCAUGCCUACUAAUAAUACAAAAAAUUGCUGGGCGCGGUGGCUCACACCUGUAAUCCCAGCACUUUGGGAGGCCGAGGCGGGCGUAUCAUGAGGUCAGGAGUUCAAGACUAGCCUGGCCAAUAUGGCGAAACCCCGUCUCUACUAAAAUUACAAAAAAAUUUGCU
rnacentral:lncRNA from 10 species